rnacentral:lncRNA from 1 species
GGUGGCUGACGUACAGAACGCCGGCUGUAUCACCCGGGCGCCGGCGCCGCCUCUCAUCCCCGUAGCUCUCGGGGCGCGCCGGGAGUAGCCGAGCCGCUGGGUGCUGGGCGGGGUCUCCGGGCGCGGCGCGGGGGGAAGGCAAAGGAAAAGAAGGGGCGGCGGGCCGACGUCGGCGGCGAGGAAGGACGGAGGAGCGCCGGAGCCGCUUUGCUGCCCUCCGCGUGGUCCCGUGCCUCCCCGACACCAUGGCCCUGGCUGAGGUAGUAGUUUGUGCUGUUGGUCGGGUUGUGACAUUGCCCGCUGUGGAGAUAACUGCGCAAGCUACUGCCUUGCUAGUGCUGGUGAUGCUCAGCGCCGCGGAGGACAAUGGCUGGGAAUCCCCUUUGUUUUCCGGGGCGCUGCCUGGGGACAGCCCGCGAAGCCUCGGCGCCCGGCCGGCGCGGCCACCACGGAAACCGUUAGUUUCACAUUUUCCUAGAAGGAAUUGAGGGGAGUGGGGUGGACCGCGAUGCAUUUUAAAGGUUGGGAAAGAGCUAAGCCAUUGGAUUCCUUUUCUUGAAGGAAGGAGUGGAAUUGUGUAAGAUAAUUGAUACAGAUAACUUUUUCACCCUAAAAAAUUCUAACACUUCUUUCAGCAGUUAAAUGCCAAAUUUAGUGUGUACCUGUUUUACUUCAUUCUUUAGCUGUAGGUUGGAGUGGUGUGAGCGAUCUGCAGAACUGGCAUUAGAGGGGCAGAAGAAGUAGACCUGAUAAUUAAAGUUUAUGCCUUAACAUUUUAGAUCUGGUUUCUGAUAUGCUCUCUUAGUAAAUCUGAGUGUGUCUUUAAAAACGUAAACCCAAAGCAAUUUAAAGUUUCUCUUUAAACUUUGCAACUCGCGAAUGAGAAGAUUGAAAUUAUUUGUAGGUAAUUGCACUAUUCCGAUUUUUUAAUGUAUGAGGCAAACAAAUAAAUUCUAUGUACAGUGUGCUGUGAAUGGUUUUGUUUUUUGUUUUUUCUUUUUAGUUUAACCUUGGGGCUCAGAUUCUGCUGGUGUGGUGGGUUGGUUUUUUGGUUUUUAUGGCCUUUGAUUCUAAUGUUAUGUGGUACUUACAUCUUUGAGGUUUUGUAUGGGAGAAGAGGACUAGGAAUUGAAAGUGGUUUCUAGAUUUGAGUUUAAAAUCUACUAACACUCAUUUUGAUUCCUGAGUGGCCACUACUCCUAAUAGGAAAAUACCUUUGCAUAGAGAAAAAAGGUAGUUUGGAUAACUAAUGAAAAUACUCAGUGCUCUAAUACCCUGAAGUCUGCGUGGAAAACAAGAUACUUGUAUUUUUAUUUUAUUUUCACUGAGGGAAGUAAGUGGUCAGUUUUAGUACUUUUCGUUGAAAACUGAUCUGUAUUUGUACAGAAUAAGUAGUUUUGAAUAUAAUGUAAUCGCAGUUUUCUAUGGUUUUCUGAUGCUCAGUUGAAAAACAAAUAAGGCAGUUCUUUAAACCAACCAAACCCUUCAGCAGGAGUUUGAUGCUUUUAUCAUUCAAAAGUGAUCUAAUAUAUGUGCCUUGAUUGGGUUUGGUUUAGCCUUGAGAAUAACCUUACUUAAUCUGAUCUCAUCAGGAUGGAGCCGCCUCAUUGUGGGAAGGGCGGUGAAGAACCUUAUCUUGAAUCUUAAGAUGCAGAAAAUGCUUGAAUGUUGGCUCUUGAAGUUUGCUUUUCUUGAUAGCAACGCAGAGUAAAUUCAGGGCUUUGUUAAGUGCUUGUUUUCUUAAAUAAUGAAAACCUCUGCGGUGCUGUGUCAAAUCUUGGUUUAUGGAGAAACUAAUCAUAACAUGCUAAUUUCAUUAUGAUUUUAUUUUCCAAAACACUUCAUUCAACCAACCGAGGUAAUCUUCCAACCCACUACACUCUAACAUUUUUAUGGAGAAUCAACGGUUGUUAAUCUGCACCCCAAAGUAUAACAAAUUCUGCUGGUAAUUUAAACUUUAAGCGGAUAAGCACACCAGAAAUGCUCAAUGUCCUAUACAGAUAAACUAUUCAUACUUUAUAUCUUGUGUUUUUAAAGUAAAUUUUAUCCACAACUACAUAUUGCCCAAAUAGUAGUAACAUUUUUGAGUUAUUGGAUGUAAAGGUACUUUGAGAGGUUAACUGUUUCCUAAGUUACAAGAGAAAAUACUGCCACCAGCUGACUUGUUUUAAUCCCAUAGCUAUAUUUCUGCUCUAAUCUCCAGUUUUAAAAAUGAUCUGCUAAUUACAUUUCUCUACACACCAACUGAAAAUUACCAACUGAACAUUUUCCUUGUUGACAGUUUCCCACAAGAUGAAUUUGAUUUAUCAAAAAUACAGCUUUCUGAACUUAGUAUUAUUGACAUUUACUUGGUGCAGUUAACUUUUUUGUUAAAGGUCUGUUGUCAAGCAUUUAAGUAAUUUGUAGUUGUAAAAAGCCACUGGUGGAAAGUAAUAAGGCAGUAUUUUGAGUGCCCUUCUCAAUAAGUACAUACUAAACCAAAGGAAAGCUGGGUUAUGGUAAUAACAUUUUAAUAAAUGUCAUCCUCAAUUGGAAAUGGAGACUGUGUUAUGGUAUAUAGGACACACCAUAUGGAGAAGAUUCUUGGAGAACACAGUUUUGCUUCAUACUUUAAAAUUCCUGAUUGCUAAUCUUACAUAGAAAAGCUUUGUUUACAAGCUAUUUUAAAAUAACCUUUUGGCAGGUAGGCAAGACUGACUGGCAAGGGUGCACUCAAGACAUUGUGUCUUGUGGAGUGGUCCCCAAAGAAUUCCUGACAGAGGCACCUGACAGCACAAAUUAGCUCUUCAGUGUAUAAGCACAAAGCACCAAAAAGGCUGAGAUUUCUUCCUAGCUACAUGCUCUCUCCCGCUAUUGUUUAUUACACUCCACCCGCUCCAUGGUGAAGCUGACAAAGGAGAUACUAUUAAUUUCCUUUCCCACUGAAUAAUCCCCUCUGUAAUUUCUACAACAAAAGGUAAAUAGGACAAUCAUCUUCGAAAAUGAAUUAGGCCAGAUUGGUAGUACCCAAAAGGAGAAUUAAUGACCAUUGUCAUAAACUCUGAAAAGCUGUUGGCGCUACUGAUAAUCUAGAUAAUUAAGCAAAAAUUUGAAAAUUAUUUCUAAGAUUGUCUAAUGAAGUUCACUAAGUGUUUUUGUUAGGUUAUCACUAUUGGGCACCAUGGGGAAAGCAAAAUAAUUGUAUAGCUAGGUCAUUGCCCCAAAGGAAAACAGGAAAGAUGUCACAUGAAGUGUUUAAGAAUCAAAAUGUAAUUAGCUGAGUGUGGUGGUGCCUGCCUGUAGUCCCCGCUGAGGUGGGAGGAUCUCAUGAGCCCAGGACUUUGAGGCUGCAGUGAGCCAUGAUUGCACCACUGCAGCCUGGGCAACAGAGUGAGACUGUCAAAAAAAAAAAAAAAUCAAUGUGAGCUCAGUGCAGUGAUGUGCACCUAUAAUCCCAGGUACUCUGGAGGCUGAGGCAGGAGAGUCACUGGAGCCCAGUAGUUUGAGACCUGCCUGGACAAAAUAGUUGAGAUUCUGUCUCAAGAAAUUAAAUAAAUAAUCAAAAUGUGGGCAGGUGAGAAAAACAUUAGUGACCUACUUCACUUUUGAGACCUGGCAGAAAAGUGAUUGAAUGAGCUAAGGGGGAAGGGAAGUAUGGAACACUUCAAAUAGUAUAGUAAUUUAGGGAGUUCUUUUGGUUAGGUUUGUUGCCUGAGAUCUUGGAGAUGACAAUCGCAGUGAUAAUGAUACUCUAGGUGAUUUACAGUUUAGUUUCAUAUUAUCUGCUACAAAUACGCUGGGAGUGUCAUCAGAAUUAAAAGAAAUAUUAGCAGUUCUACAUGGAAUUUAUGUGUUUUCUUAUCUCAAGUUGAAAAUUUUUUUUUUGGUUAAAUUUGUUUUACAUUUACCUUUCUUUAAAAGUGCUGUUUUGUUCAGAUGUAAUGGAAUUGUGCCUACACAGGAUUUUUGGCCACUAAAUUUGUGAAUAGGGUCCUUUAAAGGCAUACUAUUGACACCCGAUAGUGUAACUUUAGUCUUUUAGUUAUAUCAAAUAUGAACAAACCUAAGACACAAUCUUGUGUUUUUAAGGAUAAGUUCCUAGUUCUUUCCUCUUAUUCAACAUCAAACAACACUUACAGAAAAUAUUAUUUUCUUCGAAUCAGGUUUACAAAUUCCGUUAGUUCCAUUAUAAUAUAAUUGAGAGUAUUUUAUCAUGGAAGUCAGGAGUUCGCAGAAAGCCAAGCUGUGUGAUAUGUCACAGAAAAUUCAAGUAAAUUAAGGACUAAAAACUGUCCACAGACAUUGACAGUUUAGAUCAUAUAUGUAGUUGUAAUGUGUUUUCUGUUAUACCUGAAAAAUCCCUUAACUGCUCUUAGGUUGAGUAAUAAACAAUUAACGGGUGUUUUAUCUCACUUUGAACAUAACUACCAAAAAGGUAUUAAGAUUCAGAGAUUGCUGUUUUAAUAUUCUGCACAUAGUGUAUUUUAAAGCCCUUGUUAAACAGAAGUAUUAUGUAGAUACAGGCAUGGGCUAGUUUUAGUCAUAAUAGUAACACUGACUUAAUGUUACCGUAAUAGAUGGCCGAAAGAGUUGACUAAACUCUAAAAACAGAUACAUAAGCAAAUUAAAGUAUAUUUUUCUGUUUUAAAAACAAAUUUACAUACUUUUUAAGAGUUCGGACGAAAAACCUAAGAAUAAGAAUCCUAUCUGCCAUUCAUUUCUUUUUGUAGUGAAUGAAGCUUAUACAGAAUAAAUAAGUUCCAGAUAAAUUCAACAGGUGAAUCGGAUACCUGCUCUAUGUCAGGUGCUGGGAAUAUACAGAAGAUAAAACAAAAACAAACACAAAAAAACCAACUCCACAUUAUGGAAUUCACAUUGUAAAAGGAAUACAUUUCCCUAUAAUAAUAAUUACAGACAUGUAGUGAGGACAAUCCAUGGGCCACCUGAGUUGUUUUCAAACCUGAGUUCCACUCAUACACCUGUUCUAGAGCCCUUGCUCCAAAACCACUAUUGAUAUUCCAGUUGUAUGUUUUAAAAAAGCCAUUUCCCAUUGAUUUUUGUUAUAAUUGUACCUAUUUUUUUUAAAAAAAGAUGAUAAUUUAGUUUCACCAGGGCUGUUUUCUUUCUUUCUUUUUUUUUUUUUGAGACGGAAUCUUGCUCUUGUUGCCCAGGCUGGAGUACAAUGGCACGAUCUCGGCUCACUGCAACCUCCACCUCCCAGGUUCAAGCAAUUCUCCUGCCUCAGCCUCCUAAGUAGCUGGGAUUACAGGCGCCCGCCACCACGCCCAGCUAAUGUUUGUAUUUUUAGUAGAGAUGAGGUUUCACCGUGUUGGCCAGGCUGGUCUCGAACUGCUGACCUCAUGAUCCGCCCACCUUGGCCUCCCAAAGUGCUGGUAUUACAGGCAAGAGCCACCGCGCCUGGUCAGCCAGGGCUGUUUUCUAUCUCCUAAACAGGAUAACACUGCAGGAGGUACUUCACCUUUAAGAGCUUACAAUGUUGUAGCAAGUGCCCAACUACCUUGUGGAGGAAUCUAGACCCCAUAGCCAGACAUCACAUUUUAUGAUGUACACUCUAAACAUGGUAAAAGUUCAAAGAAGCAGGAGUGCACUGUGAGUAGGUAGAGAAUGCAUCUCUCUGGAGCAGAAACGUCAGAUUAUUUUAACAGUAUAAGCUAUGGAGAGCGAUUAUGAGCCUUGUGGUGCCUGAGAACAGGAAAGAAAGAAGUAUCCUACCUUCCUUAUAUAAUUUAUACCUCGGGGUAACUAAAUGGUUGUGAGGGAGAUUUCCUCAUUACAGAAUAAUUCCAGUUUCACAGUGCAGAACGUCUGAUAGAAUGUUAACAUUUACAACAGCUCAUGAAAUAAAGCUAGACCUCUUCAAUGGCUAACUUAAUGGUUGAAACCAUUAAGUAAAAUGCUGAUGGAGAAGUAUGUGAUUAAUGAAUCAGUAGUAGAGAAGUAUUUAAUUCAUGGAUCAGGGCAACCGCACUUCAACUCACUGAUCAAUUUUAAUAUUACAAAAACAGAUAACUAGAUAUUCUAGUUCAAAUAAUUGAACUAGAUAGUGGUUUACUAAGACUCUAGACUCUCAUCAAGUUUCUAGAUCUGAUGAGUAGUUUAUUAGAAAUUUAAGAUAUAGGGGAACAUUGUUAAAUCACCACAGGAGCACAAGUAGCAAAAAUCCACACUGAAAUUCUAUAAGACAAAUGAUCUAAGGAAAAAAAAUUUUUAAGGAAAGAAGGGCAGGAAAACCUGUAGAGUAAAAUGAAUUUAAAGAUAUUUAUCGGUUUAAUUGCAAUGUAUAGACCUUGUUUGGAUCCUAAUUUGAUCAAAGCUAACCACAAACACAUUUAUGAGACAAUUGGAGAAAUUUUAAAACUGACUGAAUAUUAGAAGUUAAAGAAUUGUUUUUGAAAAUGGUAUUGUGGUUAUAGUUUUUAAAAAUCUUUUGGUAUAUGCAUACUAAAUAAUUUACUAAUGAAUGAUAUGAUCGGACUUUGCUUCAUACUUUAAUCCAUGGGGGAUGGGAAGCAUAUAUGGGAGUACACAGGAAAGAAGCUUGUCUUAGUGUUGGUAUUGAUGAUGGGUGAUGGGUAGAUGGGUUUUUUUAUUCUGUUCUACUUUUGUGUAUAUUUAGAAUGUUCCAUAAUAAAAACUCAAAAACACGUAAAACAAGACAAAGAAAGAUUCCUGUGGUUUGGAGACAACCAAAGCAAAGUGAGAACACAUACAAAACCAUGUGAAGGUCAGUAAGGUGCAGCUAAGUGUUCUUAGGGUAUCCUCCCAGGCCACUUUGAAAUACUACCUUGAAGUCUAUCAGAGGAUCAGUCCAUUUUCCUUAUACUCCAGAUCAAAUAUAUUGACUAAUAUAGUGCAAGUUCACACAUACCCACAACAAGGAUACCAUUGUUUAAAUAUAUCUAUUAUAAUUAAAACUAGUAAUUAGAAUUAAUAAGAGAUGUGUUGAGAACUUUUACUAAGUACUUUGUAUGUAUAAAGUACUUGCUUUAAUGUUAGCCUAUUAAACUUAAUAACUUUCCAUUUUAAAUAUUAUUUUUCUAGUUCCAUAGUCUUUUUCUAGAAGUAUGCCUUAUUUCACAUUCUUAAACAAGUACUCUAAGCAAAAUCAGCUCACUAAAAAAAUUUGUUUGGCUUUAACUGCUUUCAAUAAGCUUAGUUCUGUUUUUCCUCUUUUAUUUUGUUAUUCCUCCUGUCUAACUGAAACUUUGUACCCUUUAGCCAACAUCUCCCCAGUACCUUACCCCCUCUGUCUAUAAGCCCCUGGUAACACUAUUCUCUCCUUUCUGCUUCUCUGAGUUUGACUUUUUUAUAUUCCACAUAUAAAUGAGAUCAUGUAGUAUUUGUCUUUCUAUGCCUGGCUUAUUUAGUGUAAUGUCCUCCAAGUUUAAACAUGUCGUUGCAAAUGAUAGAAUGUUUGUCCUUUUAAAUGGAACUCUAAUAAUUGUUCUAGCAAUUUAUUCGAUUUUUUGUUUCCAGUUAGAUUCCUUUUUUCUUAACCUUCUUUGUGUGUGUGUGUGUGUGUGUGUGUGUGUGUGUGUGUGUUUAGACAGGGUCUCACUGUCAUCCAGGCUGGAGUGCAGUGGCGUGGUCACAGCUCACUGCAACCUUCAACUCCCAGGCUCAAGCGAUCUUUCCACCUCAGCCUCCUGAGUAGCUAAGACUACAGGCACACGCCACCACCCCUGGCUAAUUUUUGUAUUUUUUGUAGAGACAGGGUUUUGCCAUGUUGCCCAGGCUGGUCUCAAAACUACAGGGCUCAAUUGAUCGCCCACCUCCGUCUCCCAAAGUGCUGGGAUUAUAGGUGUGAGCCACCGCGCCCAGCCCCCAUCAAUAUAUGUUAACACUUAGCAGUUAGUUCAUUGUGCAUCUACAUAUUACCAGUGUUAUUAAUCUAAUUUAAAUAUUUAACUGAGUGCUGUUACUGCUUUGAAUAUAUUAGCACACUACAAAGGUAAAAAAAUAUAACCAACCUGUGGAUCAAAAGAAACAAUGAUUUUGCAUUUUACUAAGCACAGAAAUUAUCAUGUUUUUGAAUGUGUACCACAAAUGCCAGGCAUACACACACAUAUAUAAAUAAGGUUGAAGGAGGCCGGGCGCGGUGGCUCACGCCUGUAAUCCCAGCACUUUGAGAGGCCGAGGCAGGUGGAUUACUUGAGGUCAGGAAUUCGAGAGCAGCCUGGCCAACAUGGUGAAACCUGGUCUCUACUAAAAAUACAAAAAAUUAGCCGGGCAUGAUGGUGCAUGCCUGUAGUCCCAGCUACUGGGGAGGCUGAGGCAGGAGAAUCGCUUAAACCCCAGAGGUGGAGGUUGCAGUGAGCUGAGAUCGUGCCACUGCACUUCAGCCUGGGUGACAGAGUGAGACUCUAUCUAAAAUAUAUAUAUAUAUAAGGUUGAAGGAAUAAACACAUUGAAGCAUUAUUACAAAUAUAAGAUACUUUUUUUUCUUUUCUUGUUUAAAAAUAAAUAGAGGCAGGGUCUCACUUUGUUGCCCACGCUGGUCUUGAGCUCCUGGGCUCAAGUGAUCCUCCUGCCUCAGCCUCCUAAAGUGCUAGGAUUACAGGCGUUAGCCACCACACUUGGCCAAGAGAGUUCUUUCAAAUUUACCAAUAUUAUCACUAUUAAAUAGCUUUUAUUUUGAAGUAUAUAUCCUAGUGACUUUUUAACUUCAUAUAUCUUAUCCUGUAUAUACGUAGUGAAUCACUAUCUGGACUCAUUAGUUAGACGUUGAACUUAGCCGUGACCUUAUCUACUACAUACAUGGGCAUUUUCUGUUGUUAUUAACCCUGGGACUUAAGUUGCCUUAGAAAUAUUAAUGAUAAUUGCUAUAUGUAUAGAUGUUACCACUAAUAUCUUUAGUAUUCUCUGCUGACUAUCCAUGAACCCUGUGGAGUUUAUUAUGCUGGAAGUCACAGUGUAUUCCUUAAACCCUUCUGAUUCUGCCUUAUGGCCUCCUCCCUUGUUGAGUAUCUUCUUAAAAGGAAUCAGAAACCACUCUUCCCACAUUCUCCAAUAGUCAAGUCACACCAUGAACACGGUUCCAAGAAGCGGAAAGGUCCUCUACCACUUCAAGGAAAUUAGGAAGAAAAAAAAAGAGAGAAAAACAACGUGUUGUUCCAGAAGGUAGUAUGCAAGUUCUCAAAUGACCUCUAGGCAUUUUGGUUCAAGGUCCAUCUUUUUCCUUUAUCAUGUCACUCUUCUUUUUUCCUAUUAAAGAAUAAUUUUUAUAUCUUUUUAUGUGACUGGUAAAAAUAAUAUUCCCCUUCUCCAAAAGUCAUGGUCAGUUAGCUAUAUAAAGGUAGUUGGUAAUGAAACUUCAUGUUCUUGUGGUUUUUAAAAUACAGAGUCUCACUCUGUUGCCAAGGCUGGAGUGCAGUAGCAUGAUCAUGGCUCACUGCAGCCUCGACUUCCUGGGCUCAAGUGAUCCUCCUGCCUCAGAGCCUUGAAUAACUGGGACUACAGGUGCACAUCACCACAUCCAACUAAUUUUUAAAAUUUUUUGUGGAGACAGAGUCUCACUCUGUUGCCCGGGCUGGUCUUGAACUCCUGAGCUCAAGUGAUUCUCCCAUCUCAGCCUCCCAAAGUGCUGGGAUUACAGAUGUGAGCCACCAUGCCCAGCCUUGUUUUUUUUGUUUUUUGUUUUUUGUUUUUAAUGUAAGAAAAGGUUCAAGAGAUUCUCCUGCCUCAGCCUCCCAAGUAAUUGGAAUUACAGGCCCAUGCCACCCCACCCGGCCAAUUUUUUUUGUAUUUUUAGUAGAGAUGGGGUUUUGCCAUGUUGGCCAGGCUGGUCUCAAACUCCUGACCUCAAGUGAUCCGCCAGCCUCGGCCUCCCAAAGUGCUGGGAUUACAGGCACGAGCCACCAUGCCGGACCUAUUAGUGUAUUUACUGGAUAUCAAGAUGACUAAGAAAUAGCACUUGCCUUGAAGGAGCUUUUCUAUUUGAGGAAAAAGACAUGUAUAUAAAUAACUGCAAACAGAAUGAAACAAGUGUUAUGUAGAUCUACAUACAGUGACAUGCCAUGGGAAUGCUGAACACUGAGCAACAGUUUCAACUAGCGAAUUGGCACAGGAAACAUGAAAAAUAAGCGUAUUUUCAAUAUGACAAGAAUGGUCAUUUCUGGAUAUAAGAACAAGAGAAAAGUCAUGGGUAUAUGGAAAGGCAUGGACUCUUCAAGGAAGAGCAAGUAGUCUAAUGUAGAUGCUGUAUAGGAAUCUGGGGACAAAGGGACAGAUAAGUGGUGUAGACAAAGAGGCUGGAAAUAGGGUUAUGGGCUAGAUCAUGAGUGACCUGUAAGCAUUAGGAGUUUUGAUUUAUUUUGGAAUAAGAAACAUUUAUGGCUUUUGAGAAGGAAAAUUACACAAGGGAAAAGAAAGGAUUUUUAUUUUUUAUUUUUAUUUUUGGAGAGAUGAGAUCUCACUAUGUUGCCCAGGCUGGUCUUGAACUCCUGAACUCAAGCAAUCCUCCCGGCUCGGCCUCUGAAACUUCUAGGAUUAUAGGCGUGAGCCACUACGCCCAGCCAGGAUUAUGUUUUUUUAUGGGAGGGAUGAGAAUAUUGGUAGGUGGGUAGAGGAUAAAUGAGAGAGAAUAUGUAUAUGUGAGAUUGAAUAUAUAAUAGAAAAAAUUGAUAGGACAAGUCCUGCGUUAUUACUACAUUUUAUGAGGAAAAUCUAUAUAUUAGAAGCACUUUAAAGGUAUAUUUGCUAUUCUAGCUGUGGAAACCAUCUGAAAACACAUUUGAAAGUGCUUUGAAACAGGGGUCAACUUCUCUGCAAAGGGCCAGAGUAUGUUUAGCUUUGCGGGCCACAGAUGGCCUCUGUUGCAUAUGCUGCUGGGUCUCCACCUUCCUCCUCCUUUUCUUCCCUUCCUCUUCCUUCUUUUUCUUCUUCUCUUUCUUCUUUCUCUUUAAAAGCAUAAAAUCAUUCUCAGCUCUUGGGCCAUACAGAAACAGGCCAUAGGCCAGAUUUGACUUCUAGGCCAUAGUUUGCCGACCCUCCAUUUUAGAACUUAGCUUUCCUGAAAGAGCAUUUGGGUCUCUCUCUCUCUUUCCCUUUCUCUCUCUCUGUCUCUCUCUCUCUCUCUUUCAGUAAGUGAAGUAAGAAAUAGGUCUUUCUUGAGGAACAAAAAGCUGAAAUAAUUUCAUGCAUUUGAAUAUGACCCUUGACCUGUUUUUGUCCAUCAUCACUCAGAUUUGUGGCUGCAACCACCAACCAAUUUGGUGCCAUAGGAUAUAGCAUAAUUUUUCAGCAACAGUUCAUAAGCUUUUCUUUUUGUUCUUUUUCCUUCUUCCAGUUGUGGUGGUUUAAAAACAUGUCUGCAAAAUCUUUGACACUUCUCAGUAAAAAAUAUAGUCUUGUGUUCCCUUUUCUUGAACCUAAGUGGCCUUUGUGCUGCCUCAACAAAUAGAAUAUGACAGAAAAGACACUAUGUGACUUUUGAGACAGGGUCAUAAGAGGUGAUACAGCUUCCCCAUGCCCCUGCAUUUUAGAGCUCUGGGUUGCCAUGUAAGAAUAGCUACCCUGAAGCUACCAUGCUGAAGAGACCACAGGGAAAUCACAUAGAGUUAGAAAGAGGUGUCUGAAGAAGCCCAGCUGCUCCCAAUCCCAGCUAUUUAAGUCCUCCCAGACCAGGUGCCAUAUAUAUGAGUGAGCAAGCCUUCAGAUGGUUCCAGCACCAGCCACCAUCUAGCUGUAAGCUCAUGAGACCCCUUCAACGAAAACCAUCUAGAUUAGCUUAGUCAAGCCCCAGAACCGUGAAAGACAAUAGACUUGCUAUGGAGGUCGCCACAUGCCUCUUUUUUCUCCCUUUGUGAAUGGGAUUAUUUAUAAUGGUUACCCCAUACCUACUCCACUAUGUAUAUUGGGUAUGAGGGAGAGAUAAUUUGUCUCACUAGCUGACAGAUUUUUCAGACCUCAAGGAAUGCCACGUGAGCUGUACUCACAGGACCACACACAAGUAUCUUUAUCCACACGUGACCUGAUUUCACUGAUAAAGUCCUGGACCUUGAGCCUGAGCCCAAUGUCUUAAUAAAUGAGAAUUUCAGAAGGUCUUGGGAGGGGGUGAGUAUAUUUUGCAUGUGGGAAGGAUGUAAAUAAUAUGUGGCCUGAGAGCAGAUUAUGGUGGUUUGAAAAUGUGUCCACCAAUUCUUUAAUACUACUCUCAACAAGAGGUGGAAUCUGUGUCUCUUCCUUUGGAACAUGAGUGGACCUUUGUGAUUAAAUGCAGCAGAAGGAUGCUGUGUGAACUCUGAGACAGGGUAAUAAGGGGUGAUACAGCUGCCACCUAGUUCUUUCUCAGAACAUGUGCCUUUGGAGCCCUGAGCUGCCAUGGAAGAAAACCACCUACCCUGAAGCCACAACACUGGAAAGACCAUGUGGAAGAACCACAGAGAGAGAGAAGAGGACCAAAUGUGUGAGCCUUCCCAGCCCAGGCUCCAAAUAUGCAAGUAGUAAGCCUUCAUUUCUUUUUGGUUUUAAUUUUUUUUUUUAAAUAAAUCGAAAUGGGUUCUCACUAUGUUGCCCAGGCUGGUCUUGAACUCCUAAGCUCAAGUAAUCCUCCUACCUCAGUCUCCCAAAGUGCUGGAAUUGUAGGCAUGAGCCACCAUGCCCGGCUGCAAUUAGUAAGUCUUCAGAUGCUUCCAUCACCAGCCACCAUCCGAUGACAACCCCAUGAAUGACCCUCAGCAAGAACUACCUAGCUGAAUCCAGCCAAACUCCAGACCCAUGAGAGAGAAAUAAAAUUGUUGUUUGAGUCACUAAAUACGGAGUAAUUUAUAUUAUCAACAGAUAACUGGAACCACAAGUGUAAUUGUUAAAGGUAAAACUUUGAAUACAUUUAUAUUUGCCUUCUGCCACAUUCCAUAAUUGACUUUUGUUCAUGAACCUAUUGGCAAGUUUGCCUUAUUGCUUUUCCUUCUUCCCUCUUUUUUUUUUUUGUAACUUAAAAAAUCAUAUAAUAAAACAACACAAAAAUGUAUUUGAAUGUAGGUUGAGUGACCGUAAAUAAGCACAAAACUUCUCCUUCCUGUGACUCUCUUGUCUGUAUAUGCCAAGUAUCUAACACAAGGCCUGCCUGGCACAUAAUUUUUUUUUUUAAAUGUUAGUCUCUUUUAUCAUUCUUUUUCCCUGUCAGUGGUAUUAUCUUUACCCAUGGAAUCCAGCACCCUCAUGCUGACUUAUAGUUCCCCAAAGUCCCUAACCUCUACAGUCCUCUCCAACCCCCACCCCAGGCCUCUCUCUAUGUUCCAGACAUUUUCUGGCUUUUUACCAUUAUCCAAACUCUGAACUUAUCUACUUAGUUUUUAUAAAAAAACACAGAGUGACUACAUAGCUAAUAUAAAUAAUGCCAGUGUUAACACAAAAAUUUGACUUGAAUGAUUACAAUAGCAAACUUCAAUGUUUACCCCAUGGAAUAGGCAGAAAAUUUCAAGCACUUUUCUAGGCCACCUGAGUCUAUUUUGAGUAAGGAUCCUUAAGUUGAUACUCAAGUAAUGACAUUGAUGCAAUGUAGAAGACUAUGCUAAAAUUUGUCCUGGCUUCUCUCCAUGCUAUGGGCCAUCUGUAAAGCUUUGGAGUCUAGGUCAGAUGUAUGCGUUGUCUCCUCUUUGCUACCAUUUUUGUACAGAUUUCUAAUCUAAAUAAAAUUAAUGGCAAUAACAGUGUGGAAAGGGAAAGCCUAAAAGAAAGAGGGUUUUUGAAGAGUGGGGGACCAGAAAAGAAGAGGACAAUUUUACCUGAAUUGUUUUACUUUAGAAAAUAAAUUUGUUCAUGUGAUUCUGUGAGUCAAUUUACACAUGUAUAUAAAUACACAUUUCUUUAUUUAACCAUUAUUAUUAUCACUAUGUGAUCCCUCAAUGUGCUGGCUACCACGGGUGUAAGAUAAAUUACAGAAACUCCUUAUUCUGAAGGAUUCCAACAACAAUUUGGCAUUGUGCACUGUAUGGGGCCUGGGAAAAUCCUCUGAUUUGCCAUACCUUAGGAAAGGUCUUUGCAUGAUACUAGGCCAUGUCUCUUACUACAAUGAUGAGCAUUCUUAGAUUUAAAAAUAAUACCAAGCUGUCAGGAAAACUGAAUUCCAUCAAUAAUAACAUCUUUUCAUAAACUGAAAGCUUGCAAAGCCUUAAUUAAAAAAAUGAAUUUAUUACUAAGUGAAUUUAAUUCACAAAAGGAAUUUUCCCCAAUAUUUAGGCUGUUGUUGGUUUUGGCUUUGUUUUUAAUUAACAUUUUUAGUUGUAUGGUUUGAUCAAAUACUGAAUUUGAGUUCAAAGAUACAUUUCCUCUGAGGAUGCAGUCUAAAGAGGCCAAGUAAAUAAUAGAAAAUCAUAGUUUCCAAGUUUCGCAGAACAAAGCUCAGUAGUUCCAUGACUUUUUCAGUGUUCUACAGAAUUGAGCUACUCCCUCUUACACAAAAAAGUGCUCUAAUUUUCAUUUUUUUCUUCUUUGCUCAGUUUCUUCAUUUAUUUGCCUACUUUCUUAAUUUCUUCCUAAGUAAAUAUAUAGCUAUCUUUGAGGAGAAGUGAUGUAACAUCAGAAACAAAGAGUAGACUCACAAUUAGAGCCCACUGACUCAUGGGACUUUAGAUAAACCACUAAUCAGGAAACUGGGGGUGUUAAUGCUGUUUAGUUAGUUGAUUGAGGAGGUGAGGACAAAACCUGGUGACUUCAGGGCCUCAGCAACAGAACUCCUACCUAUUUCCAUUGCUACCACUUACCUUAUGGGCAUUAGAUAAUUCUGCAGUGAGUUAUUCUGUGCAUGAGGGGGCAAAGGCUUUAGAGUCAGGUAGCUGGGGAGUUAUUUUCUCUCUCUGCUAUUUAAUAGCUGUAUGACCUCAGGUGAAUUUCUUAAUCUCCGUUUCCUUGUUUGUAAUACCCAUCAUGAGAAGUUGUUCUGAGGAUCACAGAUACUAUACCUAAAGUACCCAACAAAGUCCUGACACAAGGAAGGUGUUCCAUAAACGGUAGCUAUUUGAAGUAGUCUAAAAGGUCCCUUUCAAAUGUUUAAUACACCCAUAUAAUCCCAAUCUUAAUCUCUCACUCUCUUGUUGGCCCAUCAUUAGAGCACCAGAUCCCCUUGACUGCUUUCCAGGGUAAGGAUGCAAGACCACUGAGAACUGUGCCGCGCUGGUAAGAAGAGGUGCUGAUGGCAUGCUGUUGCCUCUGCCAGACAGACUCUGUCUUUGCUGAAGUGUUUAGUAUUGCUAUUGUGGCAAAUGCCAUUUUAGUCAAAGGCAAUAAAUCUUCCUUUGUUUAAAUGACAGAUGGCUAGGAUUGUUACUUCUGUUUCUAGCAAACCCAGAAAGGGAAAAAAUAAAUUACUGACAUUCAGAGUUCUUGUUUUUUAAGAAUAUUAGGGGGAAAAUGAAAAUAGUAUAGUUUCAGCAAAGUUAUAUAGUUUUUGCAGUCAACAGAAUAAUGGGCCCCCUAAUGAUGUUCACGUCCUAACCCCUAGAAUCUAUGAAUAUGUUAGGUUACAGGGCAAAGGGGAAUUAAGAGUGCAGGUGGAAUUAAGAUUAAUUAGCUGACCUUAAGAUAGGGAAUGUAGCAUAAUUUAUCCAGGUGAGCCCAAUAUAAUCACAAUGGAAGACAGAGACAGAAGAAUCAGAGUCAGAGAAGACGUGGCUACAGAGGAGAGAGUGAUGAGAUGUGAGGAUUCUGCCUGCCAUUGCUGGCUUUCAAGAUGAAGGAAGGGGGCCAUGAACCAAGGGGAUGCCUCUAGAAGCUGGAAAAGGUAAGGAAACAGAUUCUCACCUAGACUUCCAGAAAGCUCUGCUGUUGCCUUGAUUUUAGCCUAGUGAGACCCAUUUCAGACUUCCGACCUCCAGUACGUGAAGAUAAUACAUUUGUGUUGUUUUAACCUAUUAAGUUCUAAAAUGGUGAACCCAAUUUCAUUUCUUCUCUCCCUUUACAAGGUAGGUGCUAUUAACAGUGAAAUGACAAUGCAAAAGCAAAGCAGAGGAAAGCACCAGCAAAGGACAUGCCUCGCUGACUGCAGAUUACAGUGUCCUCUACUCAAUUCCUAUCUUAAUAUGUAUCACAUGCCCUGCCUGAGAUAAUGAGGACUCUCCCAUUCCCUCAGUCUUCAGGUUGCCUCUACUUCUCUUCCAUUUUCUUUUUCCUUGAUAUGAUCCUCUUCUUUCUCAUUCUUCUCUUCUUUCAUUUCCUGAGUUGUUUUCUCUCCACUUCUUCCCCCUCUACUCUGAUAGGAAAUAUUAUAGCAGUAGCCCAAGCUAGAAGAAAAAGGACACACCUACCAGCUCCCUCCCUCCCUCACAACACCUACACGGCUGCUGGGGAAGCCUUGAAUGAAAGCUAGAAAAGAACAAAUAGGAAAAGAGGCAUUUGAAAACAGAACAGAAAUAGUCACAGACGGGUGACAGGCAGGAGAUGCCACCUCAUUGACAGCUGCCACCAUUUUCCAUAGAGAAGUUAUUCCAUUGUAGUAUACACCAGGGCUGGGUUUAAAUAUUUUUCCUAUGUACUUGGUAGUAUAGUGGAAGCUCCUCCAUUUCUCUAAAUAGUUAACUGCAUACUUAGAGCUCUUGGUAGCGUUUAGAACACGGAGUUAAUUAUUCUGAGUGUACCUAGCCCCAUCACUGUCUGUAAUCUGUACAAAAUUUGAUAAGCCCUUUUAAGGUAGUUAGAUAUUUAUUGAGACUCUGCUGUAUAUUUGGCAGUGCCCCAGAUAUAGGUAGUGGUGGUGACAGCAAGCAAUAGGACCAGUGGAGCCUGCUUUUUAAUAGAGAGUGAUCUCUCUGGUAUUGUUGUAAGUACAGCAUAUAAGCAACUUGAGGUGUUGUCUUAAAGAUGUGAGCUCACCUAAUUUACACAAGAGCAUCAAAGCCAGAAUUCCUCCCCUUGCUGAUGUUAGCCUGUAACUCUGUGCCUCUCAAGUGUAUAACUUCUUCUGUGGGAAUCAUGCUUCUGAAGCAUGAGGAAAGAACACACCCGUGUUUCCACUUUCUCUGCUGCUUUGCAUGUGAUCCCUCCAGGUAUGCAAAAUAAUGCCUCAAUAUCAUUUUGACCUGUGUUGUCAUUUUACAUAUUUUAUCAGAAGACUUCAUAUCGGAUGGAAGCAAAUCUUUAGAAGGGUUGUUAUAACAACUUGAACAGCCCAUCAUGCUCUAGGCAUGCUCCCUAUCACGGCUAUGUUUUCAUUCAUUAGAGAUGGAGGAGGAGGCGGCUUAAAAUGUGUAAUUCUAAUCACCUAUUCCUACAGCUCUCUAACUGGUCUCCGUGGCUUCUCUUGCCUUCCUCCAGUCUUGCCCGUGAACCUUGAUUAGAGGACAACACAACACUAACAGCCACUCCUCCCUCUCCCUCCUGACUCCUUAUUUGAGUUAGAGGCUCUCGUAACACCUGCGUCUUCCCCUUUGUCAGCAGUCAUCACAACGAAUUGUGAUUGCCUAUUUACUCAUCUGCAUCUCCCACUGAAUUCUGAUCCAUGGUGGCUGGCCCAUGCCUGUCUUGUGUACAUUUGCAUGUAAACCACUUAACCCAAGUGCCAGGAAGCAAACAGUACACGCAGGUGUGUGGAGUGAUUGAAAGCUAAUUUGCUACCUAAGAAUGUACAGUGAUUCCUCAGUGUUUAUUAGAUCAGGCCCAGACUCUUCAUUUCAGUUUUCAACUCCUCUGAUUUUUCUUUUAUACAAGCUUUCAGAUCUCCUCUUGGUUCUCAUCUAGCUCUUGCAUCUUUAUGCCGUGGGUUGAUUCCUCUGCCUGCCUAUCUGUAGUAGCUUGUCUCCUAGGAUGGCUGCCAUCAAUUUCUUCUCUUCUGUAUACACAUGCCACUCCCGCAUUGAGAGAUGGAGUCUUCUUUCCCCCUGGAAUCUGGUCUGGCCUGUGACUAAUUUCAAUAAUAGAAUCUUGCAUUUCUAUUGAAACUACCAAAAAAAAAAAAUUGUGUCAGCUACUACAGCUACUAAGUUUUGGGAUGGUUUGUUAUAUGGCAAUAGAUAUCCUCAAUACCAUUCUUCAAAGUCCCAAACCUACAUUUUCUGUGAAGCCUUACCUUGCUAGUCUAGUUAACACUGAUCUCCUCCUUCUCUGAAGUUCUGUGGGAAUAGAACUUUGUUGAUGCCACACAUUUUGUUAUCCAACUGUAUGUAUUAUUACUUUUCCUUUCCUGAAUGCCAGUAUGAACUCCAUGACCAAAUUAUAUGGUCUUUGAAGAUACCAAAUAGUGGAAAUAGGUCUUUUGUAAUCCCUUCAACAAGUCCUAGUACUGAAUAAAAAUGUAAUGGCUGUUGAAUUGGAUUAAAAGUAAAAAUAUUCUU